UAAAUUCCUACCUCAACAAUCAAAUCAAUUAUUCAUACGUUACAAAAAUAAAUAACCUAUUAACACCACCAAUCCCUUGAAUUGUUCGUCUACAUAAACCCGAUAAACCACAUGCAUACAUGCUAUCUUGCAAAUCUUCUCGGCGGGUUUGUAGAAAAUAAUCUGCAAAAUUGAUUUGAUUCAAGAAGAUGGUGGAAUAACUAAACUCACCUCCAUACAUGUUUUUUUACUCGCAGAAGGGUUCUACUAAGAGAAGCCGUGGAUGGAUAAAGAAACUAUUAGAUGGAAAAGUUGAUUCUAGAUGACGUUCAGCGAGUAUUAUUGCAUGUUGGAUAGGUUCUGAUGCGCCAACACCUGGGAAACCAAAAUAGAACUGGGUCCAUUGGUUUUGUGGAAGAAAAUCUGAUCAUCAAAUGUUUCUUCACAAGCAGUGAAUCAUAAUAACUCAGCAAUCCCUGAGAUGAAAUAUGUGAGGAAAUAAAUUAAGGCCUCUCAACUGAUGAGAAGCUUCAAUAUUCAAAGAUUUUUGUCUGUACAUUGAGGGAUGCCAUCCAUCUCGAGUUACCAUUCGUAUGAGGUCACUGUUAUUGAAGGAUAGGAGGAACCUAUUCAUACAUCCACCCUAGGGAUUUCAAAUGUGCUUUUCUCUUCUUCCUUUUGGUUUCAGUGGCCUUAUUGAUCGUGGCAUUCGCUUGGAUCCAAGGGGUGAACGAAACGUAUAUAAAUAAUGCAUCAUCCAAGAGAAUCCUCCUUAAACUUGGCACUUCUUUCUGAGCUUGAAGUAUUACCGUUGCAUUUUUUUCUCCUAAUUCUCAGUUGUGGUUGGCAUUAAUCAGUAAUGGUGCCGGUUUCCAUAUAGUGCUAAUUUUUAGAUUGUACAUUAUGUGAACAUACUUAGUUGAAGUUUUUCCUUUUGAAUAAAGUUGUUCACGAUUUAGAAUAGUUGCAGCGCCCACGCAGUCGGACAAUUUGAAUUUUUUGUGCGAGCUUAU